rnacentral:rRNA from 1 species
AUUGAACGCUGGCGGCAUGCUUUACACAUGCAAGUCGAACGGUAACAGGCCUUCGGGUGCUGACGAGUGGCGAACGGGUGAGUAAUGCAUCGGAACGUGCCCAGUCGUGGGGGAUAACGCAGCGAAAGCUGUGCUAAUACCGCAUACGAUCUAUGGAUGAAAGCAGGGGACCGCAAGGCCUUGCGCUCACGGAGCGGCCGAUUGCAGAUUAGGUAGUUGGUGGGAUAAAAGCUUACCAAGCCGACGAUCUGUAGCUGGUCUGAGAGGACGACCAGCCACACUGGGACUGAGACACGGCCCAGACUCCUACGGGAGGCAGCAGUGGGGAAUUUUGGACAAUGGGCGCAAGUCUGAUCCAGCCAUGCCGCGUGCAGGAUGAAGGCCUUCGGGUUGUAAACUGCUUUUGUACGGAACGAAAAGACUCUGGUUAAUACCUGGGGUCCAUGACGGUACCGUAAGAAUAAGCACCGGCUAACUCCGUGCCAGCCGCCGCGGUAAGAC